UACGUAGGGUGCAAGCGUUUGUCCGGAAUUAUUGGGCGUAAAGAGCUCGUAGGCGGUCUGUCGCGUCGGCUGUGAAAACCCGGGGCUCAACCCCGGGCCUGCAGUCGAUACGGGCAGACUAGAGUUCGGUAGGGGAGACUGGAAUUCCUGGUGUAGCGGUGAAAUGCGCAGAUAUCAGGAGGAACACCGAUGGCGAAGGCAGGUCUCUGGGCCGAUACUG
rnacentral:rRNA from 1 species